UUUUCAUUUAAUGUAUAAAUACACCAUAGCUACAAUGGCAUCUCCUCCUUACUCUAUCUCAAAAGGAAAAACUUUUCAAACCUAAGAUUUUUUCAACAAAUGAGGCCACCUCCCACUAUUAUAUUGCAUUUUGUUUCAAGAAAAUGUUGCAUCUUCCUAAUACUGAAGGGGUUAGCUCUUGAGUCUGAUUCAGGGAGCAUCACUGACCCCUGGUCUGGGGCCGAUCCCUGGCAGCUGCAUCCCCCACGUCACUUCUCCAGCGUUUCUGUGAGGGAACAUCUCCCGGGUCCUCCACAGCAGCCAGCAGAGACGAGCAGCCUCCAGCUGGCAGGUUCAGGAGCUGGUGACAGAUCAGCUGCUGGGUUCCCGAGUCAAGCUCCUAAGCUGCUGGAAGUCUGAAUCUGGGGAGAAGGGAAGGCCAUGUCACUGCAGCUCUCAGGUAUUUCCAAACCGAGGAAUUUUCAGACUCCCAGAGAGAAGUGCUGAUUUCCUACAGUACUGUCACAACCUUCUGAAUGCAAUGGGCAACUGCAUCGCAGUGGGAACUGACCUGUAACAGCAGCCAAAGGACUCUGAAUAUUUUGUUGCAACACUUGGCUUCACAGGGGAGGAAAUGUCUGGUCUCUGUGUCCAGAAAACAAAGACUUUUCAGGGGGGAGGAAUUUCUCGGGACACCUGAUGAACUGGAGCCACUCUGGAGAUUUGUGUAAACCAAAUUUGUUCCAGGCUUGAGAGAUUAGCAGGGUUUAGCUGCAGCGUUCUCCAGACAGCUCUGGAUGCCUUUAAAGCCUCUCUGGUUUUAAGAAUUGGAGAAACUCUUCUCUUUAAAGGAAAAAUGAUUCCUCCUUUCAGUGGCUGAAGCACACACUGGAGGGGCUGGCAGCAUAUCUGGAACAAACGUCACCAUCGCGCAGCUGCCAGCCAAUGCUCGUUGCCUUCAACUACCCUAAAGGAAAAUACAAGGUGUUAUUGGGGUAAUAAAGGUCCUGAUCUUCCCCGAGCCCUGACUUUC
rnacentral:lncRNA from 1 species